GACGAACGCUGGCGGCGUGCUUAACACAUGCAGGUCGAACGAAGAGCGAUGGAAGCUUGCUUCUAUCAAUCUUAGUGGCGAACGGGUGAGUAACGCGUAAUCAACCUGCCCUUCAGAGGGGGACAACAGUUGGAAACGACUGCUAAUACCGCAUACGAUCUAAUCUCGGCAUCGAGGAUAGAUGAAAGGUGGCCUCUACAUGUAAGCUAUCACUGAAGGAGGGGAUUGCGUCUGAUUAGCUAGUUGGAGGGGUAACGGCCCACCAAGGCGAUGAUCAGUAGCCGGUCUGAGAGGAUGAACGGCCACAUUGGGACUGAGACACGGCCCAGACUCCUACGGGAGGCAGCAGUGGGGAAUCUUCCGCAAUGGACGAAAGUCUGACGGAGCAACGCCGCGUGAGUGAUGACGGCCUUCGGGUUGUAAAGCGCUGUUAAUCGGGACGAAAGGCCUUCUUGCGAAUAGUGAGAAGGAUUGACGGUACCGGAAUAGAAAGCCACGGCUAACUACGUGC
rnacentral:rRNA from 1 species